rnacentral:rRNA from 1 species
UACGGGGGGGCAAGCGUUGUUCGGAAUUACUGGGCGUAAAGGGCUCGUAGGCGGCCAACUAAGUCGGACGUGAAAUCCCUCGGCUUAACCGGGGAACUGCGUCCGAUACUGGAUGGCUUGAGUUUGGGAGAGGGAUGCGGAAUUCCAGGUGUAGCGGUGAAAUGCGUAGAUAUCUGGAGGAACACCGGUGGCGAAGGCGGCAUCCUGGACCAACACUGACGCUGAGGAGCGAAAGCCAGGGGAGCAAACGGGG